rnacentral:rRNA from 1 species
AACGAACGUUAGCGGCGCGCCUAACACAUGCAAGUCGUGCGAGAAAGGGCUUCGGCCCCGGUAAAGCGGCGCACGGGUGAGUAACACGUAGGUAACCUACCCCUUGGUGGUGGAUAACCUUCCGAAAGGAGGGCUAAUACAGCAUGAGACCACGAUGUCGUAAGACGUUGAGGUCAAAUCGGGCCUCUAUAUAUAAGCUCGAGCCGAGGGAUGGGCCUGCGGCCCAUCAGCUAGUUGGUAGGGUAAUGGCCUACCAAGGCAAAGACGGGUAGCUGGUCUGAGAGGAUGAUCAGCCACACUGGAACUGAGACACGGUCCAGACUCCUACGGGAGGCAGCAGUGGGGAAUCUUGCGCAAUGGGGGAAACCCUGACGCAGCGACGCCGCGUGAGUGAUGAAGGCCUUCGGGUUGUAAAGCUCUGUGGAGAGGGACGAAUAAGUGUGGUCGAAUAGGCCGCAUGAUGACGGUACCUCUUUAGCAAGCACCGGCUAACUCUGUGCCAGCAGCCGCCGUAAAAC